UUCUAGCCUCACUCCUGAUGUAACCGGUACAACAGUCAGAUCAUCAUCAUAGGUUUAUCUUUUUGAGGAAGAAUUUCACGGAAGAAAUUCUUCAUAAAGAUCUUGAUGAAGGUAGUAGCAGUGCUCUGUCAUGGUCAUUAAGCUUUUUGGACGUAGGUGAACUUAAGGUCAAAGUAGUUGAAAACGUGAAAGUAUACCAGUGUUCAAAAAGAAACAAAUAUAAGAAAUACAUCCACCUAUAAUGCUAUAACAGCAUCAUUCUCAGAAUUUAACAUAGGACCUCACAAUGAAUGCAUUGAGAAGGAAAGUGCUUGGUCAGAAAGAAAUGACAGUAACAGGACAGUGAAGUUUGUGGGCUCAAUGCAAUAAUGAUUUGCUCUAAACUCAUGUGAGAAAUGUGGUGAACACUAAUAAGUUUACGAUGACUUUACAGCAGCUGUUUUCCAUGUGGUGACUGUUUCAAUCUUAAAGUUUCACCAAGUUAAAGUGAGGUCACCUUACCCUCUA